rnacentral:rRNA from 1 species
GGAUUAGAUACCCUGGUAGUCCACGCCCUAAACGAUGUACACUAGUUGUUGUGAUGCUAGACAUUGCAGUAAUGCAGUUAACACAUUAAGUGUACCGCCUGGGGAGUACGGUCGCAAGAUUAAAACUCAAAGGAAUAGACGGGGACCCGCACAAGCGGUGGAGCAUGUGGUUUAAUUCGACGAUACGCGAAGAACCUUACCUGGCCUUGACAUAAGAAGAACUUAGUAGAGAUACUUAGGUGCUAGCUUGCUAGAGCUUCUAUACAGGUGCUGCACGGCUGUCGUCAGCUCGUGCCG